rnacentral:rRNA from 1 species
CUCAGUAACGGCGAGUGAAGCGGCAACAGCUCAAAUUUGAAAUCUGGCGCCCCCCGGCGUCCGAGUUGUAAUUUGUAGAGGAUGCUAUUGGGUUGCCACCGGUCUAAGUUCCUUGGAACAGGACGUCACAGAGGGUGAGAAUCCCGUACGUGACCGGCCAGGCGCUCUCUGUAUAGCUCCUUCGACGAGUCGGGUUGUUUGGGAAUGCAGCCCUAAAUGGGAGGUAAAUUUCUUCUAAAGCUAAAUACCGGCCAGAGACCGAUAGCGCACAAGUAGAGUGAUCGAAAGAUGAAAAGCACUUUGGAAAGAGAGUUAAAAAGCACGUGAAAUUGUUGAAAGGGAAGCGCUUGCCAUCAGUCUCGACGGCGGCUGUUCGGCCUCUCUUCUGAGUGGUUUAUUCAGUCGCCGCCGGGCCAGCAUCAGUUUCGGCGGCCGGACAAAGGCGCGGGGAAUGUAGCUCCCUCGGGAGUGUUAUAGCCCCGCGUGCAAUACGGCCCGCCGGGACUGAGGUCCGCGCUUCGGCUAGGAUGCUGGCGAAAUGGUGGUAAGCGGCCCGUCUUGAAACACGGACCAAGGAGUCUAACAUCUACGCGAGUGUUUGGGUGUCAAACCCGUGCGCGCAAUGAAAGUGAACGGAGGUGGGAACCGCAAGGUGCACCAUCGACCGAUCCUGAUGUCUUCGGAUGGAUUUGAGUAAGAGCGUAGCUGUUGGGACCCGAAAGAUGGUGAACUAUGCCUGAAUAGGGUGAAGCCAGAGGAAACUCUGGUGGAGGCUCGCAGCGGUUCUGACGUGCAAAUCGAUCGUCAAAUUUGGGUAUA